AGUGAACGCUGGCGGCAGGCCUAACACAUGCAAGUCGAACGGAAGAAGAGUAAUUGCUUGUGGUUACGGGUGCGGAGUGGUGGAUAGUGCAGGAGAACAUCCGUAUCUGUGUUUUAUAGCGGGAUGACGCAGGGACAAAUACGCCAUUACUGCUUACGGAGUAAGUGUGAGAGCUUCGGAUCUUAGGACCUCGCGUGAGCCAAGGAGCGGAUGUCGGAUUAGCUAGUUGGCGGGGUAAAGGCCCACCAAGGCGACGAUCCGUAGCUGGUCUGAGAGGAUGAUCAGCCACACUGGAACUGAGACACGGUCCAGACUCCUACGGGAGGCAGCAGUGGGGAAUAUUGGACAAUGGGCGCAAGCCUGAUCCAGCCAUGCCGCGUGGGUGAAGAAGGCCUUCGGGUUGUAAAGCCCUUUUGUUGGGGAAGAAAAGCAGCAGGUUAAUACCCCGCUGUUCUGACGGUACCCAAAGAAUAAGCACCGGCUAACUUCGUG
rnacentral:rRNA from 1 species